GCAGUAGCCGCGGUAAUACGGAGGAUCCGAGCGUUAUCCGGAUUUAUUGGGUUUAAAGGGUGCGUAGGCGGCCUAUUAAGUCAGGGGUGAAAGACGGUAGCUUAACUAUCGCAGUGCCUUUGAUACUGAUGGGCUUGAAUGUACUUGAAGUGGGCGGAAUGUGACAAGUAGCGGUGAAAUGCAUAGAUAUGUCACAGAACACCGAUUGCGAAGGCAGCUCACUAAAGUAUGAUUGACGCUGAGGCACGAAAGCGUGGGGAUCAAACAGGAUUAGAUACCCCGGUAGUCCCUGUCUCUUAUAC
rnacentral:rRNA from 1 species